rnacentral:sRNA from 1 species
GUAGACCAGCGACAUCCUGAAAGUCUUUCCGGCUCGCCACUGGAAACGAGGAUUGUCUUGGAAGUCCCCGCCGCGAUGUCGAUAACCAGGAGCUUCGCGCCACGCACGCCACUGGGCGCUACCAGGGCCACCUGCUUACCGUCCGGCGACAAGCUGAUCUGUUGAACAUACUCCCGAGCGCCGAAGGCCGCGGCG